UCGAGCGUGGUGUACGGUACACCCUGGCUUUGAUUCAUGAUGGCGGAAGAAAAGUUUAGCCAGCGUCCGGGGUUCGACUCCCCGUGUUCGAG